rnacentral:rRNA from 1 species
CAUUACCGAGUUAGGGUCUUAUAGGCCCGACCUCCAACCCUUUGUUUACUAUACCAUGUUGCUUUGGCGGGCCCGCCUUUCGAGGCCGCCGGGGGUUUAUACCCUUGGUCAGUGCCUGCCAGUAGCCUUAUUAAAUUCUUUUUAUAAUUAUGUUGUCUGAGUAUAAAUAUAAAUCGUUAAAACUUUCAACAACGGAUCUCUUGGUUCUGGCAUCGAUGAAGAACGCAGCGAAAUGCGAUAAGUAAUGCGAAUUGCAGAAUUCAGUGAGUCAUCGAAUCUUUGAACGCAUAUUGCGCCCUUUGGUAUUCCGAAGGGCAUGCCUGUUCGAGCGUCAUUAUCAACCAUCAAGCCUGGCUUGUCGUUGGACCUCUUUGCCAUUGAAAUAUGUGGCAGGUCCGAAAGAUAAUGACGGCGUCGUGUUUGACCCUAAAUGCAACGAGCUUUUUAUAGCACGCAUUGAAGUGGUCGGCCGACUCAGUCUUUAACCAUCAUUUUUCUAAGGUUGACCUCGGAUCAGGUAGGAAUACCC